UGUAUUAGAUAAUAUCCAGAUCAAUUUUAUCUGAAUAAAAACGUGUGCCAGAUCAAUACAAAGAUAGAGUAGAGUUCAAGCAAAACACAAACUGUAGAUUCAGAUUUGGUAACCUCAGAAGCUUAGCAGAAGCUUACCUCAAGUCUAUUUUAACUAAACAGUUGUAACUUAUCAUACAAGUGUCAUAUCAAUGUAGGAUUCUUAAUCCCAACAAUCUCCCCCUUGGCACUUGUGUGAUCAAAACACCAGUAAUCAAAACACCUGCAUAAACAAACAAAGUACCAUACCAAAAACACUUGAAAGAAACUCCCCCUUAACAUGUGAACUCCCCUUUAAUGGAACAACCUGCAGUAUACAAUCAACCAAGCAACCAAGCAAUAACUAAACACCAGACAUCAAACCUGCAGAUAUACGUAAGCAAUGCAAGAAACCACAUGUCAAACCAAAAAACAUAAUAUUCCAAACAAAAACAAUCAACAACUGUAAUAACCCGAUUUUUGAAACGGAUUAAAGUGAAAUUUUUAUAAGAACUAAAUUGAAAGUAUGAAGAGUUAAGGGGUAACAUUGUAUUUAUUAGGAAUUAGAGGGUUAAUGUAAGAUUUUAAUAAUUUAGAAGAAAAAAAAAUGCACACUCGGUCAAGACAAAUCAUCCCACCAAGAAUGGGAUUCAUAUUAUAUAUAUAUAUGUAUAUAUUGUGUUUAUAUAAUUAAUUGUUGUGUUUCCAUUUCUUUUGUUAAUAGGGUAAAGACAAAAAAAAAUAUAGAAAAAAAAAACACAUACCCGUGCUCUCUCUUUUCACUCUCCCAGUGCAACACCCAGCUAAGAUGGCAACUUUGUCGUCCGUUCACCAAACAAGAUGCCAUUACCACCAAAAUGAAGCUGGGACCUCCAAGAGCAAAGCCCAACAAAUCUUGACAAGUUUCGUCAAUUGUAGCCAUCAGAAUCAUGCUUGAAAGUUCUUGGCCACCGCGAAGAAAAUCGUCCGAUCUGGACAUUCUGACCAUCGUUGGAAGAAGCUAAGACCAUUGUUCGACUUGUCUCAAUGAGGCGCACCUAACCCAACCUUUGUUCAGCCAAAAUAGUCCCCGGAAUUCCAUGACCCGUGUAGGACCUGAAUGGGUCAAGAUUGACCCGAGUUGACUAAGAUUUGACUAGCUCGAUUUCGCAUCUCUGGCGAUUGAUUCGAACUCUAGACGUGACAGUGAACUCGUAUUCAGCAAUCUCGACAUCCUACAACCGAUUUAGAUGCUCGCUAGAAAAUACUAUGGUAUACGUGUAUACGUACUGUAUGUGUACAGGUGAUCGAGGAGAUUGGACUUGCUGCUGUAGAUGUAUAGUAUUUGUACUCAACUAUCGAGGUGAGACAGGAUCUAGUGCACAGGCUACGGAUCAACAGGAGGACGUGUGACGGAGGUGACCUGGACUUUUGUGUUUAUUUGACACGUGUGUGUGGAUAUAUAAAUGUAUGGCAUGUUUUAGUUGUUUAAGUACAUUGAUGGACUAUGGUUAUGGUUGGAUUGAUAUAUGGUGUUGUUUUGUUGGCCGGGAGUAGUUGCCCGUGACUACUGUGUGUUUGACAAUGGACCUACGGGUCGGUUGAUUUUGAUGGUAUUAGAAGUGUUUUUCUUUGUGUGUGAUCUA